GAUGAACGCUGGCGGCGUGCCUAAUACAUGCCAGUCGAGCGAACGGACGAGAAGCUUGCUUCUCUGAUGUUAGCGGCGGACGGGUGAGUAACACGUGGAUAACCUACCUAUAAGACUGGGAUAACUUCGGGAAACCGGAGCUAAUACCGGAUAAUAUUUUGAACCGCAUGGUUCAAAAGUGAAAGACGGUCUUGCUGUCACUUAUAGAUGGAUCCGCGCUGCAUUAGCUAGUUGGUAAGGUAACGGCUUACCAAGGCAACGAUGCAUAGCCGACCUGAGAGGGAGGUCGGCCACACUGGAACUGAGACACGGUCCAGACUCCUACGGGAGGCAGCAGUAGGGAAUCUUCCGCAAUGGGCGAAAGCCUGACGGAGCAACGCCGCGUGAGUGAUGAAGGUCUUCGGAUCGUAAAACUCUGUUAUUAGGGAAGAACAUAUGUGUAAGUAACCGUGCACAUCUUGACGGUACCUAAUCAGAAAGCCACGGCUAACUACGUG
rnacentral:rRNA from 1 species